GUGAUUCAUGUCUGUUUUGUUAUGUGUAUUUCGCUGGGAUGGAAAAUGUUAAUUGGGUUCCCCAGGCAGCCUGUUGGGCAGCAUCUUGCAAAUUAAGAAUCUUGUCUGUGGUUCCAUAACACAGAAAGGGGUGAUUUUCUCUUGUAAAGUGGUUUGAACCCCACAGCCAUGGCACUAGCGAGCAGGGUCAUCAGAGCUGCUCCAUUCUUCUGGAAGCUGCAGAGAAAGGGAGCCCGGAAACCUGGUAUGCCGGCAAAAAGGAUGCCCUGGAUCUGUUCCUGAAGGAUUACAGCAUGAAGAAAAAUAAUCCCCAGAAUAACAUACGUGUGACAGACCAGGAUUCAGCCCACAGCCUGGAGCCAAGACACCAUCCGACCCAGAUGAACCUGCGUGGAUCACCUGAGCCACUAGUGACCCAGAGAUCCUGAGAGUGAAAAACAUGCAUGGUCCUAUACACCACUGAGUUUUGGGAUGACUUGUUACUUAGCACUAUUAUGACAAUUGCUGACUAAUAUACCAGGCUCCUGGAAGAUUUGUUGUGAGGUUCUCAUAAAAUGAUGAAUGUGAAAUUGCAUUGUAAGCUGCUUUUAAAAAAGGUACUUAGCUGGAGUGAAAGCUCUACAAAGGCAGAAAUUGUUUUGCUACUGUAACUAGAUGAGUUCCUGGAAUAAAAUAGUAGCUCAAUAAAUACCAUAUUAAUUGAAUUGGAUGGAUGGAUGGAUAUAUAUAUAUAUAUAUAUAUAUAUUUUAACCUUGGAACUUCUAUCAUAGGCAUUUUUCCUUGGGUUGAAACUACUAAUUUCUCUUAAGUACAGAUACCCCCCGAGAAAGCUAAAAUGCUGUAUUGUUUAUCACAAUACUUUUGGUUCAUGAUAAUUACUGCCAGAUACCUGGAGUAAUUAUAGAAAUUGUAGAGAACAAGAGGUGAGGGGUGGGAGAGCUAAGAAAUGGAUUUUCCAGUUUUGCCCAUGGCUACUUUGUGCAGCACCUCUGACAAAAGCUUUGGGAGUUUUCCAGAAACUAGCAUUCUGCGCCCUCCCCAAGCACUUAUUUCUUCCUUCCCCAGGGUGCCGUGUUUGCAUUUCUGCAGCACAACAUGGAGGGUAAAGGGAUUGCAGAGUGAGUCUCCACUUCCACUCGUCUCUGUUGUUGGAGAGGAUUAAAAGAGCAGGAGAGGGGCUGCCUGUGUCCUGGGAAAUUUUCAGGACAGAAGAAGAGGCUGGCCCUGUGCAGUAGGUGCAGAGCAGGCACCCGGCCUCCAGGGCCACCGAUGACUCCAGGGCCUGGCAGGAGCCAGGAUGUGGCUCCUCGUGGAGGGCUAUGCCAGCCGUGUGUCCGACCCAGAGCACAGAACCAUUGCCCCAGCAGGGCUUUUCAGUGGAACCGAGUGUCCCCACACGAGCUUUGUCUCCGGAUGCACACGAGGAGAUUCUGCAGCACAGUGGAUCCGAUUAAGCCAUUACAGCUUUCCAGAGGGAAAAGAAAAUUUAGGACGUGUAGAAACUAAGUCUUUGCCCACAAUCAAGUUUCCAUUCAAAUUAUGAAAAGGAAGUGAUUGAAUGAGAAUGAGAUGACCUUCCCCUUCCCCCACGGAUCUUCCUCCCUCUGGUUCCCUCUGCUGCUGACACGAGCACUGCACCCAGGCGACGGCCCCGGGCGCCCAGGCUGACUCCCGCACUCGGGCGCUGAGCUCAUGGCCGGUUCUGAAGAACUCUGGUUCUGCUCAUGCCCCACAUCAAAACGGCCAAGUCUUCAGAUUUGGGAUUUCCCAAGCCAAAAGCAUUUUCAUAGAAUUGCAUUUCAAUAUUUACAUUAUCUUUAAAGAAAGUCCAGCUAAAAAUAAAAAAUAAGUAAAAAUGUUAAAAAUAAAACAACCCCAGAGAGAAGUGGGGUCUACCUGAAUGCAAUGCAAGAUGAAGUGGACAUCUGGACGCCCCUCCUCCAGGGCUUCGCAUGCUCCCCGGGGCUCAGGGGCUCGGGUGGGGCAGCUCCUCAUGGCGUGGGGUAGGGAGGGUGACCCCAGGUUCUUAGUCAGGGCAGGUGCAGGCCUGUGAGACACCAGGCGAAGGAGGCAGAGCAGGCCGUCCUGUGUGGAGUGGCUUAUUCUAAUUCAAACUCCCCUGUUUUCUUCCUCUUCCUUUUGGGGGAACUCAUCCCUCUGAGACCUCAGACAGACAUGCACCAGGCUAUGGGUGGGGGUAAUGCAGGGCAGGCAGGGUGGUGCAGGAGAAGCAUUCUGCUCUUUUCUGCAGUAAGGUAAAUAUCGUGGCCGUCAUCUGUUCCACCUCCUUCCUGCUGUCUGGCUUCGUUAGUGCAGAUCAAGAGCAUAGGUCAGUGCCCUGGAGGGUGUUCAGGAUGACCGUAGCAGAGGUCUCCGUGCCACAAAUGGAACCCAGCCUUGCUAACUUCUCCAGGCUCGGUGCCCAGCACCCCCAGGGCACACAGAAACCACUGUGGUGUGAGUGGUGCUGGAGCAGCAGACACAGGCGCGUUGUUGUCGGGAGGUGGGGGAGCCCCCGCCGGCUUGCGUGUUUUCUUCCUUAGCAACUGCCCCUCAGAAGCAAUACAGGACUUACCCUAAUGUCACCUCUGCUGAGUCCACGCCGGGGAAUGGCUGAGAAACAACUUCAUGCCAGAAUCCUGUCAAUCUAAGUCUCUACAAAAUUCUAGGAACCAAGAAAUUAUAAACUGAAAGCUCUUAAUGAGAAGCUCUCUGUGGGCAAUGAUCUGGGCUCUGCAGGGGGCUCCAGCAGCUGCCAGAGGGAAAUAAACGUGGAAAAGAACAACCUGAGGCUGCUCGGCUGAAGGCCGGAGCAUGGGGACUGCCCUAACCCUCACUCACGGUGCAGGGAGCUUCCCAGGAAGUCUCAGCUCACCUGCAGCCUUCGAACCAGGAGAGGCUCCGUGAAAGAGCAGGAUGCUCGAGGUCUGGCCUCAACCCUGUCAUCAUUGUCAAUCCCUGCGGCUCCUCCUUCCAGGGAGGCUGGGCAGAAGAGCAACAGGAGCAGGUGCUCAGGGGCAACACAGAAGACAGGAGCAGGUGCUCAGGGACAACAAGUACUCAGGGGACAGAAGGUGCCAGGAGGUAGUAGGUGUUCAGGGGGCAGCAGGUGCUCAGGGAGCAGCAGGUGCUCAAAGGCAGUACAGCAGACAGGAGCAGGUCAUUUCUAAAUAAGUUUAAAAACUGAAACAUGAAUUACUAAGCAUGAGUUUAAAGUUUAUAUCCUUUGACAUCGUGUUUUUACAUAGUAUAGAGAAGCUAAAUGUAUUUGGUUCUAUUAAUAAACAUGAAAAUUGUCCGGGUGCAGUGGCUCACACCUGUAAUCCCAGCACUUUGAGAGGUUGAGGAGGGCAGAUAGCUUGAGCCCAGGAGUUUGAGACCAUCCCAGGCAAUGUAGUGAAACUUUGUCUCUACAAAAAAAUACAAAAAUUAGCCAGGCGUGGUGGCUCCAGUUUUGACUGCAAGGAUGGACCCCUGAAAACGCCCAAGGCUUCAGAGGAUGACCGCUAGAGCCAGCAGUUUCUCUUUCCAUAAUCAAUCAUGUUAUUUGAUAGUUAUGAGAGUUGAUUCAAGAUUGAGAGAUGGAAUAGGCUGUUAUUACUCAGGCUCAUUUCCUAAAGUAAAUCAUAAUUUAUAGAUGUGGGACACAUAGGCUUUGAGAUUCCGAUACAAUUAGUGCAAACAUUUAGAAGAUAAAUUGGCCUCCAUUCCAAGGUAACCAAAUGGAUCCCUUUUUUAAGAAUUGAGAAUACUAUAAAACAAAGAUGCAAAAAUACCCAAAAUUGAUCAAUAAGGAUCACGCAGAGAUUUAUUUUUUGAAGACAAUACUAACAUUUCAAAUGUAGGAAAUACUAUUUUAUGCUUUAAACAGGGACAUUUAGUCUCGAGUUCUAGUUUUAAUGCCCUAACCUGGUUUAUCCAUAAAGUGGAGAGAGGCUAGUGCAUAAAUUCAUGUGGUACAGCCAAUCUUAUUCAUUUUUUCUCAAGGGACAGUUAUAACCAGAAUGAACAAAGCCUGGAAUUCAUUAACAGAGCUUACAGGGAAGGUGAGUGGUUUCGAAGCAUUUUUACUAAUCCUUUGAUAAGUCACCCUGAUGUGAGAGGUGGAUUUAGCGACUUGCUUAUGCCAAGUAGCAUAUGGCAAAAGUAAUGAUAUUUCACUACUGCACGUAUCUGCAAAGGGAGCACUCACUCUGGGGCAAGCCAGGCCUGUGUCAUGAAGACACUCGAGCAGCCCUGUGGAGAGGCCCAGGCGUAAGAAACAGACGCCUCUUACCAACAGUCAGUGAGGAACUGAGGUCUCCUGCCAUGAGCCAUGUGAGUGCGCGAUCUUGGAGGUGGGUUCUCUAGCCCCUGUCAGGCAGUCAGAUGAUGCAGCCCCAGUCACAUGCAAUCAAGUCUAGGUUCUUGAUAUUCUAGUUACUUAAAGAUUGUCAAGCAAGAAGUCAUUUCUUCCCCGGCUAUGCUAUUCAAAGGUUCAUGAAUCUUUUGGAUUUUGUAUAUUUUAGAAAUUCCAGAAUUUAUCAGUAGGAACCAGAAAUAGAAUAUCCAGCAGGAACGGCAUGAUGUAUAAAAAAAUAUAGUCCUUUUUGUACAUUCCCCUCUUCCAUUAUUCUAACUGUAUCUACCUUCAAAUCACACCUAAGAUUUCAGGGAUAGACCCUUUACCUCGAAGAUAAUGAAACCCAUCAGAUUAUAAUUUUUUUUUUGUUAUGGACAAUUCCCUUCCCUAAUAUUUCUCAAACUGAAGGUUGUAAUCUACUUCAAAGAGUCGUCCAAGGAAGGCAUGGUGAUCGACGAGUUUCAAAUAACUAUCAAAUACAUUUAUUUAUCCUAAAAACGUUGACAGUAAUGAUAGAAAUACUCAUUUUUAAAAUUCUUGAAUUCUGAUACAUAGUUCUAUUUUAAAGUCCUGAAAUACCAGUAUUUUUUUAUUGGUAUACUACAAUUAUACCACUAUUUUUGGAAACUAAGGUCUGAAUUAUUAACUUCUUUUUUUUGAGAUGAGGUGUCAUCUGUUGUUGUUCAGGCUGGAGUGCAGUGGUGCAAUCACGGCUCCCUGCAGCCUCAGAUCCCUGGGCUCAAAGAAAUCCUGUGAGCAUGGCACUGUACCCAGCUGAUUUUUUAAUGGUUUGUAGAGACAGGGCUUUGCUUUGUUGCCCAGGCUGGUCUCAAGCUCCUAACAUCAAGCAAUCCUCCUACCUUGGCCUCCCAAACUGCUAGGAUUACAGGUGUGAGUCACCAUGCCCAGCCUUUAUUUAUCUCUUAAAAUGAAAGUCAUUGACUAAACUAUUCAAUUUUGUGCCAAAAAAAAGAUGAACUAAUGUGCAGUCUUCAAAACUGAUAGGAUUAUUCUGGAAAAUUUUGUACAUACACACACAAAAAAAGAAGCAUUGAUGACUUUUGUUAAAAACACCAAAUAAUAUGUCAUUUUAAAUGUUUAUGAACGAUUAAUUUCUUAUUUCAAUAUAAUGCUUAGUUGAUUAUUUGUAAUAAAAGUUUAUUUUUGUUUAUGUGCUAAUCCAUUAGGAUGUGAUAUAGUUUGGAUAUUUGUCCCUACCCACAUCUCAUGCUGAGUUGUAAUCCCCAAUGCCAGAGGUGGGGCCUGGUGGGAGAUGUUUGGGUUCUGGGGGUGGGUCCCUCAUGGCUUGAUGCUGUCUUCUUGAGAGUGAGUUCUCAUGAGAUCUGGUUAUUUAAAAGUGGGUGGCACCUCCCUGCCCACUGUCUCUCACUUGUUCCUGCUCCUGCUCCUGCCAUGUGAUGUGCCUGCUCCCCCUUUGCCUUCCGCCAUGAUUGAAGCUUCCUGAGGCCUCCCAGAAGUAGAAGCCGCCAUGCUUCCUGUAUAGCCUGUAGAACCACAAGCCAAUUAAACUUUUUUUAAAUGAAUUACCCAGUCUCAGCUAUUUCUUUAUAGUAAUGCAAGAAUGGCAUAAUACAGGAUGAUAAUAUGUUGAAGGUUUAUAGAUUCAAAAAAUGUAUUUUAGUUAAUUUGAAAAAUAAUGUAAGAAACACAUGAUAAAUAUUCAAUUACGUUUGUGAAAUACACUAAAUCCCUACCUGCUUAUUUCCUAGCUGGGCUGCUAUAACACAGUGCCACUCACUGGGUGGCUUUUACUGCUCACAGUUCUGGAGACGUGGACAUUUACAAUGAAGACUGAUUAGGGCCAGUUUCCUGAUUCACAGAUGGGGCCUCUCGCUGUGUCCUCACAUGGCAGAGGGACAAACAGGCUCCCUCUCUCUCUUUUAUAUGGGCACUGAUCCCAUACAUGAGAGGUCCACUCUCAGGACCAAAUCACCCCCUUGAGACCCCACCUCUCAACACUAUCACCAUAAGGAUUAGCCUUCAGCAUCUGAAUGUGUGGGGAGGAAGCACAAACAUUUAGAUCACAGCGCCCUGUCCCUGGUUUCCCAAAGUUCACAUCUUCCUCACGUGACAAGUACAUUCAUUCCAUCCCAACAGCCCUACAAGUCUUAACUCGUUCCAGCAUCAACUCAAAAGUGUGAAGUCCAGAGUCUCAUUUAAACAUCGUCUAAAUCAAAUACGUGUGUGAUUUAAGGUAAAAUUCAUUGUGAGACAAACUGCUUUCCAGCUGUGAGCCUGUAAAAUCAAACAUGUUAUGUGUUUCCAAAUUCAAUGGUAGGUGUUAUGGUUUGGACUUGUGUCCCCACCCAAAUCUCAUUCAAUUAUAAUCCCCGGUGUUGGAGGUGAGGCCUGGUGGGAAGUGAUUGGAUCAUGGGCCGGAGUUCUUAAGAAUGGUUUGGUACCAUCUCCCUUGGUACUGCAUAGUGCGUGAGUUCUCAUAAAAUCCAGUUGUUUAAAAGUGUAUAGCACUUGUCCUUCUCUCUCCCUCCUGCUCCAGCCAUGUAAGAUGCCUGCUUCCCCUUUGCUUUUCACCAUGAUUGUAAGUUUCCUGAGGCCUCCCCAGAAGCUGAGCAGAUGCCAGCAUCAUGCUUCCUAUACAACCAAUGGAACUAUGAG
rnacentral:lncRNA from 1 species